ACUUAAAUAAUUUAAUUUAAAAUAUCAGUUUGUGAAUCUGGAAAUGUAAUUUUUUACUUUAGGUU
rnacentral:tRNA from 1 species